rnacentral:sRNA from 1 species
AUUAACCUGAAUUUACACAACUUUACUCAAAUCAUCAUGAAAUGACUGACCAUUCACUUUAUUAUACUUUUAGUGCUUAGACCUCAUUAGAGUUCUAACAUUCUCCUUAACCGAAACUGUGCAAACAGAUUCGUUGUUCUACGCAGUGGUCACCCCAAUCAUUGCGUAUUUUUUUGUCUAAAAUU